AGCUUUGUGCAGUGGCAGUCUCGUAGCCAAUGAGGUUUAUCCGAGGCGCGAUUAUUGCUAAUUGAAAAACUGAGGAAUAGUUUAGUAAAACACACAGAUCUUAAGUAUAUAAUUUAAUGCCUUUUUACAAAU
ensembl:snRNA U4 U4 spliceosomal RNA